CCUACGGGUGGCAGCAGUGAGGAAUAUUGGUCAAUGGACGAGAGUCUGAACCAGCCAAGUAGCGUGAAGGAUGACUGCCCUAUGGGUUGUAAACUUCUUUUAUAUGGGAAUAAAAUGUUCCACGUGUGGGAUUUUGUAUGUACCAUAUGAAUAAGGAUCGGCUAACUUCGUGCCAGCAGCCGCGGUAAUACGGAGGAUCCGAGCGUUAUCCGGAUUUAUUGGGUUUAAAGGGAGCGUAGGUGGAUUGUUAAGUCAGUUGUGAAAGUUUGCGGCUCAACCGUAAAAUUGCAGUUGAAACUGGCAGUCUUGAGUACAGUAGAGGUGGGCGGAAUUCGUGGUGUAGCGGUGAAAUGCUUAGAUAUCACGAAGAACUCCGAUUGCGAAGGCAGUUCACUGGACUGCAACUGACACUGAGGCUCGAAAGUGUGGGUAUCAAACAGGAUUAGAUACCCGUGUAGUC
rnacentral:rRNA from 1 species